rnacentral:rRNA from 1 species
UUGGGGAAAAUUAUUGGUUGUAAGUAUUUUUUUAAUAUUAAGAAAAAUAAUUGGGUGAUUUAGUAAAUUGUGGGAAAAUUAAAAUUUAUUAUAGAUAAUUAGUAUUGUGAAAGAAAUUUUAAUUAAGGGGGGAAGAAAAAUUAAUUUUGUACCUUGUGUAUCAGGGUUUAUUAAAUAAAAUAAAAAUUUUAUUUUCUCGAAAUUAGAAGAGCUAAAAUAAAAGGAAAUUUUAUUGUAAAAUAAAUAUUUAUAAUUUUUUUUUAGAAAUGAAACGUUAUUCGUUUCUAAUAUAUCUAGUUAUUUAAGAAAAAGGUUGAAUUUUUUUAUUAUUUUAAAUUAAAUUUUUUGGGUAAUUUAAUUUAAAUAGUAGGUUAUUUUUAAGGGGAUAAGCUUUUAAAGAUAGGGUUAAAAAUUUGAUGUUUUUAGGGAUUUAUAGGAUUGGAAGUGUCCAUUAUUAGAAUAAUGUUAUAUUUAAUUAUAUGAAAAAUUUAAUUUAUAUAAAUUUUAACUUAUUUAUUAAAUUUUUAAUAAAAAUUUUAAUUAUUAAGUAAUAAUGAUAAAAUUAGUAAUAAAUUAUGUAAUAAAUUUUAUAAAUUAAGGUUAGUUAAAGGAAUUCGGCAAAUAAUUUUCUACCUGUUUAUUAAAAACAUGGCCUUUUGAAUUUAAUCUUAGGUCUGGCCUGCCCACUGAAGAAUUUGAAGGGCCGCGGUAUCUUGACCGUGCUAAGGUAGCAUAAUCAUUAGUUUUUUAAUUGGAAGCUUGUAUGAAUGGUCGGAUAAGAAAAUGACUGUCUCUGAUUAAUUUUAAUUGAAUUUUAUUUUUGAGUAAAAAAGCUCAAAUAUUUUUAAAAGACGAGAAGACCCUAUAGAGUUUUAUAGAUUAUUAUCAUUAAAUUUUUGGUAUUUUUAAUUUAAAUAUGUAAAUUUAUUUAAUUGGGGUGAUUAGAAAAUUUAAUAAACUUUUUUUGAAUACAGACAUUUAUAAAUGAUUAAUUGAUCCAGCCUUGUUGAUUAUAAGAUUAAAUUACCUUAGGGAUAACAGCGUAAUUUUUAUAGAGAGUUCUUAUCGAAAUAAAAGAUUGCGACCUCGAUGUUGGAUUAAAGUUAAUUUUUGGUGUAGCGGCUAAAAAUUUUAGGUCUGUUCGACCUUUGAAAUUUUACAUGAUCUGAGUUUAAACCGGUGUGAGCCAGGUUGGUUUCUAUCUUUAAAAAAUUUUUAUAUUUUAGUACGAAAGGACCAAGUAUAAAGUACACUAUUGUGAGCCAAGAAUUUUAUU